GACGAACGCUGGCGGCGUGCCUAAUACAUGCAAGUCGAGCGGAUGAAAGAGGAGCUUGCUCCUCUAGAUUCAGCGGCGGACGGGUGAGUAACACGUGGGCAACCUGCCCUGUAGAUUGGGAUAACUCCGGGAAACCGGGGCUAAUACCGAAUAAUCCUUCGGACCUCAUGGUCCUAUGUUGAAAGACGGCGUCUCGCUGUCACUACAGGAUGGGCCCGCGGCGCAUUAGCUAGUUGGUGAGGUAACGGCUCACCAAGGCCACGAUGCGUAGCCGACCUGAGAGGGUGAUCGGCCACACUGGGACUGAGACACGGCCCAGACUCCUACGGGAGGCAGCAGUAGGGAAUCUUCCACAAUGGACGAAAGUCUGAUGGAGCAACGCCGCGUGAGUGAAGAAGGUUCUCGGAUCGUAAAACUCUGUUGUGAGGGAAGAACAAGUACCGGAGUAACUGCCGGUGCCUUGACGGUACCUCAUUAGAAAGCCACGGCUAACUACGUGCCAGCCGCCGCAGUAAGAC
rnacentral:rRNA from 1 species